rnacentral:rRNA from 1 species
UACGUAGGGUGCAGGCGUUAAUCGGAAUUACUGGGCGUAAAGCGUGCGCAGGCGGUUUGCUAAGACAGGUGUGAAAUCCCCGGGCUUAACCUGGGAACUGCGCUUGUAACUGGCAAGCUAGGGUGUGGCAGAGGGGGGUGGAAUUCCACGUGUAGCAGUGAAAUGCGUAGAGAUGCGGAGGAACACCGAUGGCGAAGGCAGCCCCCUGGGCUGACACUGACGCUCAGGCACGAAAGCGUGGGGAGCAAACAGG